GAUGUUCGCUUAAGAAACCAGAACUUCCAGCGUCUUUGUUCUGACCGUUUUGCUCCUCCUCCCGUUACCGGGGUCUCCGUUAAGACGGAGUUGCCGGCGCAGAGACGCCCGCGCCCCCGCGUGCAGGUGCCCGAGCUCGGCAGGCGCCCGCGCAGGGAGCGGACCCCGGCCUCGCCCCGCAGCCCCGUCCCGGCCGCCCCGUGCGCGAGGCUCCUCCCCCCGCGGGUCCCCGGCCCGUGCACACAACCCCGCGGGCGCACUCGGGCCGACCGCCGCGACCGCCGAGGGCCUGAGCUGGCCGCGGACUCCCGCUCCGAGCGGCGCCCGGGUCCUGCCGUCUUCCCGCGUCUCGGGCCCGCGCCUUCCCCCCACUGGCUCGGUCUGCCGGACCCGCCGAGGCACCUCGCCUGCCCGGGACGCGCAGCCGUUUGGGGGGACGCGGAGGAGCUGACCGGAGCCGCCGCCGCCGCGGGGCCGCCGCCACCCGGACGGUCGCCCCGAAGUGGCCACGGGCCGGGCCGCGACAGGGGCUCAGCCUGGGGCCUCGCUGGCCUCGCUGGCGCCACCGGCUUCCCUCCGAGGAGGGCCCGUCGCGGGGGGGGGGGGGGCCCGCCUGGCCGCUCACCGGCGCCGGGGCCCAGGGCUCUGGGGACCGCCACUCGACGCGACCGUGCGCGGCCCAGCCUAGCCGCGGCGCCCUGGGGACCCGGGACACCCGCCUGGCCCGAUGGCGGCCGGUCUCAGCCGCGGGCGCGGGGCGCGACGGAGCUUGGGGCCCGGGAGCCAGGCCGCCGAGGCCGCACCCCGCCGGGCGUCCGCAGGGAGCAGUCGGGGUCACGCGGGCUGAGCGAGCCGCCCACGGGCUGGAAACGGCCCUCGGGCCCAGGGGCAGGGCGGCCUGGCGGGGCGCGGCCGGGUGCUCUGGCUGCAAGCCCAGGCCUGCUCCUCGAGGGCUCUUCACUGCGGACCCCGGAGGCAGGGGGCCCCGCGGCCCCGCUGACUCCUCAGUCUCUGCCUACAGGGCUGCGCCUCUCGACCCCUGCGCUUCCCCCACUUUGUGCACUGACUUCUGCUGCGCGGGUGGCUCACGUGGCUCUUUCACGGUUUGCGCGUUGA
rnacentral:lncRNA from 1 species